GAGAACCCACUCAGUCUGUGAAGCUGAUGUUUCAUCAGAAUCAGUCUGAGGCUGAAGGUCUGUGGGCUGCCUGGAGAGCUGCUUGUCCACACUGGAAGGUGGCUGAGAAGCUGGGCUUUGGUGGUAGCCUAGCAACGGAUAGACACAAAGAAGUCAGGUUUGCUAGGCUGUGGAUUCUGGACAAGAGAACAGGAUCUGCUAGAAAAGCAAGGGAAAUACGAUGGAGGUGCUUGGGGCAGUGCUGAUGCUCAGGCAAACGCUCCUACAGCAGAGUGAGCGCACAGGUCCUCCUGUGCCUGGAUCCUUGGUCCAAGUCUCCUCACGCGGCUCAACUUUACGUCUGUGUCAGAAGAACGUCAAGACCAAUUGCCACUUCUUUUUUUUCUCAGAGUCCUCACCCAACAUAAGGCUUCCAAGAUGACAGAGAACAGGAGGUUGCGAUGACUACUGUUGAGACCAUUGUCAAGGGAAAGUCCUUUUCUUUUGAAGACCACUUGGAUGCUGACAUUUGCUGGAAGUGCCUAGAUUACUGCGAAGGCUUGGCUGGGUUUAUGGUUGACAAAACAUCUUUUGGUGACAUCAGAAGGGACCUACUGGUGUCCGCGUGGGCAGAAGAGAGUAGUACUACUGCUUUGAGAUAGCCAGUUGAAAGCCAGCACCUGCUUCGGUCCACAGGAAGGCAAACUAGCUCCCAUCACACAGGCUAAUGCUUUGUUCUUAGUUGAAAUCUAUACCAAGACUGCUGAGCAUCCUGGAUUCUCCAACUGGGCUGCCACAGGCAGAUUCUGGCUCAGCAUCUCAAUAUGGCAGAGAUCUUCUUCACUGCACAUGUACCCACUGGGAGGACUCAAACCUGGUAUUUCAGAACUCAGGAGAAAAAUUCACACUUUGCAUUUCUCACUGUCACAUGGAGGAGACUGUGACAAGGCCAGCUCUAGUGGCACAGGAUCAUAUGUACAAAUGGAUAUUCUUGAUAAACUUAUAGAAGUGAUGGCACAGACCCAAAGUUCCAAGCACUCCUCACUCUACCCUCAGAAGAUGCAAAGAUGAGUCCAUGCUCCAACUGAUCGCAUCUGGAUUCUAGAGUGUUCUUGAGUGUGUGAAGCUUCAAAGGAAGGAUGUUAAUGUGCUUCGAGGCAGAGGUCAGGAUGUACCUGAAGAAAGGCCUCAUACCAAAAGGUGGAUGUGAUAAGAGACCCAUUAACCAGUAGCAGAGGUCACGUGGCUUGUGUAAAGAGGAGACAUCUGGACCACGCAUGCCCAUUUUAUCACUGGACACCUUUGCAGAGAUUAUGGGGAUGAUCCAGUAACACUGCUUUUGGGUGAGUAGCCGAUGUCUUCACUGGGAUCAGGCAGUCUCCUCACAAAACACUCCAAGAGCUGACAGUAUCUCAUUAGUGGGUACAGUGUCAUUGCAGUGGAGUGUCCCAUUUGUGGACAGUGGAAGUCAAAGUGAUUUAUAGAGAGCAGUUGUCAAGUCAUGGCUGAGUGAGGAACCUGCAUAGGAAAACCCCUUGAGAAGCCUCUCCACAAAGCCAGCCGGUGGGUGACAGUGGCUGGCUCCUUGAUUAGAGGCCAUACAGAGUUGUUUCUGAAUCUAGACUUUGGGUCAUUGGGGGCAGGAGGUAGUUCCUUAUUCAUCGUUCUGUUUUGUUCGAGUUGAGAAACGUGUGUAAGUACACUUUAGACUCAACGAGGAACGUGGGCUUCUUUCACUUCCAGUGCCUGUAGAACCUUCGUCAGCAGCACGCUUGUGGGGAACAGGAAGAGUAGGGCUUUCUUUCUUUCAUACUUUAGCCAAUAAUGUUAGAUUUCUAGUUAUUUUAAAGAACGUCUUUUGUAUGCUUGUGAUAGAAUCAAUAAAGUUUUAAAAUUUAAAUUUACUUUUUAAAAUUAA
rnacentral:lncRNA from 1 species